GGAGACGGCAUCUGAACCUUGCCGAGUAGGAAUGUUCCAGAAGUAAGAGAGAUGACUAGGGUUUCAAGAACAAGGACCAGCACCUAUGAAGGCUCUGAGGCACAGACCACUGUGACCUGUGGAGAAGUGCAAAGUGAAAGGCACGUUUUGAUUACUACCGACAUUCACAGUCUGGACACGGGUGACAAAUCUAAAGGGCCAUAGGAGUUGAAUCACUGCUAUGACUUCUGAAUGGAUCUGCUUCUGGAGAUGAGCUCUCCGCCUGUUCCCAGGAGGUCUGAGAGAUACCCUGGACAUUAUCCGUGAGAGCCACCUGCCAAGGCAGGAGAUAUUGCCCAUUCGUCCAACUGCCGCUGUCCUGCCAGUAUAUCGUCUGAGAUUACCAUCAGCUAAAUAUUGCAUUGUCUUUGGACAAUUUUCCUACAUUGUGACUCCUCACUACAUUUUCAAUGCUUUUCUAGUCCCAGACAAGCUACAGACUGUUAAUUUACACUUGCUUUUGCCUUGCCUGAGGAAAUUGAAAAUAAAUUUUAAUUUCCUAGUCAAGGGCUACGGGUGCUUUGUGUGGUUUGGAGGAAAAAAAAAUACUGUUAGAUGGAAUUAGGGAAUAUUAGGAGAGUUUCUGAAGUUAGUGAAGGUACACAGUAAUUGAUCACUUGCCCUCAUAGUGAGAGGUCAUUCCAAUGAGCAGAGGUUCUGUCAAUAUCUGAGAUCUGUUUGAUACCUGGCCUCAAUCUGUCGAUCACGCCCAGUAACCAUAUUCAUAGGCUUCAGAUCUGAAUUUUGAAUUGCAUCAGAAGCUUUCCUCUGGCCUCAGAGAUGCCAUUGAGACCAUUCUCAUAGUUAGUCACCACUCACACUACACAAAAUGGAAGAAAAAAACUUCCUUUGGGGCAAAUCAACAAUCUCUGGUAGGAAAAUAAACAAGGAUGCUUUCAGAAUACCAGAAGCCCAAGUCUGAGCAUCUGGAGGCAAAGGAAGAGUAGAGAAGUCUUUGUUGGUGGGACCACUGCCUGUAGGAAUUUAAGGGAACUUGGAUCUUAGGAGUUGCUCAGUUAAGUCCUAGAGAGAGCCUAAGUGGGACUGAUGAGAAGCAGAACAAAUUGCUAUUUCUGAGAAGAAAAACCAACACUUUUGGAUGUUAACUUUUGGAUGUUUGAAUUUUUUGUUUUAGUUUUUAUUCCUUUUGGGAAAAGCUAUUUUUAUCGCAAAAAAAUAUGUAAAGCUAGCAACAAAAUAGUUGAAAGUAUUUAUUGUGUACCUACUGUGUGAUAAUAGCAGCUGGGUUUCAAACACAAGUGAAUAUGAAAUAAAUGAGCCCUAGAUGCACAAAAA
rnacentral:lncRNA from 1 species